CGCCUCUUGCACAACCAUAAGAGGUCCAGCCUGCCCAGUGACUCUGUUCAACGGCCGCGGUAUCCUAACCGUGCGAAGGUAGCGCAAUCACUUGUUCUUUAAAUAAGGACUAGUAUGAAUGGCACCACGAAGGUUAUACUGUCUCCUCUUUCUAAUCAGUGAAACUAAUCUUCCCGUGAAGAAGCGGGAAUAACCAUAUAAGACGAGAAGACCCUAUGGAGCUUUAAACUAAGCAACAAAUAUCUCCCCACUUAAAAGACUUAAGAGUAAUUAAAAUUAACCAGAUAUUAUGAUUUCUAGUUUUAGGUUGGGGUGACCAUGGAGUACAAUUUAACCUCCAUGCCGAAUGAUUAUAAAAAUCUAAGCCACGAACAACAAUUCCAAGCAUCAACACUUUGACGUCUAUUGACCCAAUUUUUGAUCAACGAACCAAGUUACCCUAGGGAUAACAGCGCAAUCCACUUCAAGAGUUCAUAUCGACAAGUGGGUUUACGACCUCGAUGUUGGAUCAGGGUAUCCUAGUGGUGCAGCCGCUACUAAAGGUUCGU
rnacentral:rRNA from 1 species